rnacentral:ncRNA from 2 species
AUUGUAAGCAAGGGGAGCCUGUAUACAGGCUGAGAGGAGAUUGGAUAAUUUCGACCCUGAUACCUGAUUUGGGUAAUGCCAGCCAGGGAUGCAGCCCAGCUUUUUU